rnacentral:rRNA from 1 species
GACAGAGGGUGCGAACGUUGCUCGGAAUUACUGGGCGUAAAGCGCGUGUAGGCGGGUGAUCAAGUCAGAUGUGAAAUCCCUGGGCUCAACCCAGGAACUGCAUUUGAAACUGGUUGCCUUGAGUGUUGGAGAGGGAAGCGGAAUUCCUGGUGUAGAGGUGAAAUUCGUAGAUAUCAGGAGGAACACCGGUGGCGAAGGCGGCUUCCUGGACAACUACUGACGCUGAGACGCGAAAGCGUGGGGAGCAAACAGG